AUUGAACGCUGGCGGCAUGCCUUACACAUGCAAGUCGAACGGUAACGGGCCUUCGGGUGCCGACGAGUGGCGAACGGGUGAGUAAUGCAUCGGAACGUACCUUUCAGUGGGGGAUAACGUAGCGAAAGUUACGCUAAUACCGCAUAUUCUGUGAGCAGGAAAGCAGGGGAUCGCAAGACCUUGCGCUGAUUGAGCGGCCGAUGUCAGAUUAGCUAGUUGGUGAGGUAAAGGCUCACCAAGGCGACGAUCUGUAGCGGGUCUGAGAGGAUGAUCCGCCACACUGGAACUGAGACACGGUCCAGACUCCUACGGGAGGCAGCAGUGGGGAAUUUUGGACAAUGGGGGGCAACCCUGAUCCAGCCAUGCCGCGUGAGUGAAGAAGGCC
rnacentral:rRNA from 1 species